rnacentral:misc_RNA from 1 species
AAGUCGUAACAAGGUUUCCUUCCACCGGGCUCGCCCCCGGAGACCUCCCCGCGGCGACUCUAAAACAACCGCGCAGUUUGGGGGAUCAUCCCCCCAAGCCACGCCGUCACUGUGCUGGAAGGUCCCUCCCGGGCCCAACCAGCAGCCGGGCUGCCCCCGCAGCCCCGGUCCACAGAUCAAACGACGGUGGCCGCUUCCCCUGGAAGGCGGUUCUGAUAUGACCGGAGCCCCCGCUGCCACGGCGGGGGAUGCCUCGUCCGUAGGUGAACCUGCG